UGGUUGAUCCUGCCAGUAGUGUAUGCUUUACCCAAAGACUAAGCCAUGCAUGCCUCCGAAAAGAAGUAUUUGUAGCAUCGAGUCUGCGAUCGGCUCCACAUAUCAGUUGUAAUACAUAGCAAGUGCAAGGUCCCCUUCGGGGGACCAUGGAUAACCCCGGUAAUUCUGGGGCUAAUACGAGAAUUGAAGUAGACCACGUCCCUAACCUAACGGUCAAUGGGAUGAGGUCACGCGCGAGACAAAAAGGAAACACAGAGUGCUGAAUCGACUUACGUGACGACCGGGUGUCACUUUGGUGUUGCAUUCCCACCGGGAAAGGGUUCAAGAGUUUAGCCUUGCACCGCAGCUUACUGGAUGUUAAAAAAAAAGUUGCACCGCGAGGUUUUACGGAUGUUCCACUCAAACUUUCCACGGGCUUUGUCCAAAUUCCCUGGUUAACUCCGGGGAUGAGUGCUGGCGGGUAACGACCGCACAAAGUAAAGGUUGCAAUGUUGAACACACCAUACGGCGUUAUGCGAUCGGCCUCUGUCCUAUCAACUCGCGAUGCUGAUUUCUUGCACUAACAUGGUUGCAACGGGUACAGAGGAUAAGGGUUUGAUCCUGGAGAGUGGGCCUUAAAAAUUGCUCAUACUUCUAAGGAAGGCAGCAGGCGCGCAACGUUCCCAAUACACAAUGUGUGAGGGCGUAAAGGGUAAUACCAAUAUCUGACCAUUAGGUUGGGUAAUUGGAAUGAGGCAAUGCCAAACAUGUUACACGAGUAACAAUUAGAGGACAAGUC
rnacentral:rRNA from 1 species